rnacentral:lncRNA from 1 species
AGAACCAUGCAAAUACACGCAGCCUCCUUUUUUCUAUGACUUUCAGUCCUAAGCAAUCACAGGCACAUAUAAUCACUUAAAUGAAGAGCAGGAGUUGGAAAGCUUUUUCUUUUUUUUGAGAUGGAGUCUCACUGUGUCACCCAGGCUGGAGUGCAGUGGUGUGAUCUUAGGUCAUUGUGACCUCUGCCUCCUGGGUUCAAGCGAUUCUCCUGCCUCAGCCUUCUGAGUAGCUGGGAUUACAGGCAUGCGCCACCACGCCCGGCUAAUGUGUGUGUGUGUGUGUGUGUGUGUGUGUGUGUGUGUG